rnacentral:rRNA from 1 species
CCGCUCCUACGGGAGGCAGCAGUGAGGAAUAUUGGUCAAUGGGCGAGAGCCUGAACCAGCCAAGUCGCGUGAAGGAUGACGGCCCUACGGGUUGUAAACUUCUUUUGUUAGGGAGCAAUUGGGUCCACGUGUGGGCUUAGCGAGAGUACCUGAAGAAAAAGCACCGGCUAACUCCGUGCCAGCAGCCGCGGUAAUACGGAGGAUGCGAGCGUUAUCCGGAUUUAUUGGGUUUAAAGGGUGCGUAGGCGGUCCGUUAAGUCAGCGGUAAAAUUGUGGGGCUCAACCCCGUCGAGCCGUUGAAACUG